UAUUGGACAAUGGGGGGAACCCUGAUCCAGCCAUGCCGCGUGUGUGAAGAAGGCCUUAUGGGUGUAAAGCACUUUAAGCGAGGAGGAGGCUCUUUUGGUUAAUACCCAAGAUGAGUGGACGUUACUCGCAGAAUAAGCCCCGGCUAACUCUGUGCCAGCAGCCGCGGUAAUACAGAGGGUGCAAGCGUUAAUCGGAUUUACUGGGCGUAAAGCGCGCGUAGGCGGCCAAUUAAGUCAAAUGUGAAAUCCCCGAGCUUAACUUGGGAAUUGCAUUCGAUACUGGUUGGCUAGAGUGUGGGAGAGGAUGGUAGAAUUCCAGGUGUAGCGGUGAAAUGCGUAGAGAUCUGGAGGAAUACCGAUGGCGAAGGCAGCCAUCUGGCCUAACACUGACGCUGAGGUGCGAAAGCAUGGGGAGCAAACAG
rnacentral:rRNA from 1 species